AUCAUUGUUUGGGGACUCGGUGGUUGUGACAUGUGUUACUUGUAAUUCUAUUCCAUGGAGUACAAUAUUAUUCAGGAAUCUCUGGCUCAUUUAUACGCAAAAUGGAAAUCUGUUGAUCCUGAUGCCUGGUGCAAAAUAGUUUACCUCGAAAGAGAUAGAAUUGUUCAAAAGUUUUACAUACUAGAGAGAGAGGUGACCAUCGACGGAAAAGUUGGUUCAGAGUUUGACGGAGAAAGAAUAAGCCUGUCCUACUUCCGUAAUGAAUAUCGGGACGACGAAACAGCCAGUAUAUUGCCUUAUGUUGGCCAGGGAGUAAAACUCCGGAAAGACAUGGACGGGAGCAUCACGGCGACACGGCUAGGCAAGAACCCCGUGAUCGUGAGAGGCCAUGACGACCCCUCAGAACACUGCUUCUCUCUGGAUGUCAUCAAUCACGAGGGGAAACUGCCUCACCAUGUACCCGUGAAGAUAUUUGACAUGGAGGAAUUUAAGUGUCAAAUGGCUAUCCAGAUGAAAAUUAACCCAAAUGGUGACGACACCAUAUUACGAUAUCAAAGCGUCACGUGUUUAAGUCUGGUGAAAGAUGGGAUAGAGGCUGGGGAUACACCUUGUUGGUUGCUUGUUAUCAACCUAUGUGCUUUGAGAGCAAUUGACGAUCCUAUUGGUAAAUAUUCUAGAAGAGUUAUUGAUAAUUAUCGGAAAAAAGCAAGAUAAGCAUGUAACACUAUAACACCGGGAAACGCUAUUUUUAUUUAUCAUAUCGGUGUUAAGAUAUCGGUAUGCUUCAUAUUUGAAAAAAUAAUAAAAAGAAUUUACCUUAGUGAUUGUGUAUCUAACAAAUCUAUAACUUUAUCAUAUUAAAUAUAAUAUAGUUAAAACACACGUCGAACAAAAACUGGCAGAGUUCGCCGUUCGCACAGAAGAAGAGUUGGAAAUGGAUUUGGAAAAACAAGAAAAGAGUGACGAGCUUGCGGCCAGAGUACGUGGUUAUGUAACGAUUGCAUUCCGGUUGCAUAUAAUAUACAUUAUGAUACAACUCUCCGCUGAUUCAACCAGCUGCUGAUAGAAAUUAAACAACUAAACAUUUAACCUAUUCAACAGAUGCAAUUAUUAUUCAAUCUUUUGAAAAUGCCUAUCCUUGACGUAAAUAAUUAAAACUAUAUAUUUCUCUGCUGUAGCAUAAGCAACGACAUUGGUCUAAGCUUAACCAAAGAAAGGGGUUGGAGGGUUCAGAAGCACCACUUAGAAAAACCAAAUUUGAACUAAUGAAGAAAGAUAAAAACAUUGGAGACAAUCUUCACUACAGCUGGGAAAUUGAAGCUCAAAAAUCAAAAAUGCUGCAUUUGAAUGUUGAGUAUCUGCAAGAGCAUUACGAGGAACCGGAGUCUCAUGUUGGAGGGUUAAGACAUACUGGACGAGGGCACCCCGGAAGUGUCAUCAGUAGCAUGAUGUACCCAGGGAGUGGGAGUUCCGUCCGGAGAGAUUGGGCAAAGGUCAAGGUCGCUAUAAAACUAGAAAAAAGGAUGGAUGAAGAAGCGUUACAAGAAAUAGCCGAAGACGAGGAAUCAUAACAUACAAUUGGUCUCCAGUCUUUCAAUGUGUUCCCUUGCCCGUUAUUAAAUGCAAUAUUUUUGACAUGUACAAAACAUAAACGGAGAAAAACAUGAUUGACUCCAAAUAAGACAAUACCAUGACGUGUAUUUUUAUGCCUAUGUCUGAUUUGAUGUUCAUUGUAUAUUUUACAUUGUACAUUUAUAGAAUAGUGUUCUAUUUUACACCAUUGUAGACCAGAAAUGCAUAAAAUUUCAAACAUACAUGUAAUACAUUUAACUUCAACUAUAUUAAACUUUGUUUUGUCAUAAUAGAAUCAGUGCCAACAUUUUACACUUACUUUAGUAUUCAGAUAUUUUGUUCAGUUUUUGUUUUGAUUUGAGAGAUUUUAUGCAAGUACUUUCUUGAAUUAUCCAUACAAUCAAUAUUUCUUAAUAGAAAUACGUUGUUAUACUGUAUUGGGGUUCUUCAUAUGUGAAGUACAAUAAUGCACACAUCAGUGUAUGGUUUGACUUCAAGACUCUAAUUGAAUGUAAAUAUUGGUCAGUUAAUCCAUUUAUUCCUUUUAUUCCAAAGAUGUUUUUACAAUUAUACAAAAUAGCUCAUUCAAAGAGAGUUUUUGUCACCUGUUCCAAUAUACCUACAUUACAGAAAACUUUUCAUUUAAGUACGAACCUCUUGUGUGGAAUUUGAUCAACCAUGCAUGCAUUGGGUGAAGAUUUUAAACAAUUUUAAUGAUUUAUUCUUAUGUAUAUAAGGUGACAUUGUUGACCUUUUGUGUUAAAUAUGAGUAUAAUGCAUAUAAUUAUGCAAGUUCGAAUAUUAUUCUCUUGAUUGUAAAUGUCUGUUUAACCAUCGCAAUACUAGUAAAAGUUUUGAAAUC
rnacentral:misc_RNA from 1 species